UACGUAGGGGGCAAGCGUUAUCCGGAUCCACUGGGUGUAAAGGGAGCGCAGGCGGUACGGCGAGUCUGAUGUGAAAACCCGGGGCCCAACCCCGGGACCGCACCGGAUACUGCCGGACUCGAGUGCCGGAGGGGCAGGCGGAAUUCCUGGUGUAGCGGUGAAAUGCGCAGAUAUCAGGAGGAACACCGGUGGCGAAGGCGGCCUGCUGGACGGUAACUGACGCUGAGGCUCGAAAGCGUGGGGAGCGAACAGG
rnacentral:rRNA from 1 species